GUUGGAAACGACUGCUAAUACCGUAUAAUCUGCAUAUUUAACUUUAUGUGGGAAAGGUGGCCUCUAUUUAUAAGCUACCGCUUUAGGAUGAGUCCGCGUCUCAUUAGCUUGUUGGUGGGGUAAUGGCCUACCAAGGCAACGAUGAGUAGCUGGUCUGAGAGGAUGAUCAGCCACACUGGGACUGAAACACGGCCCAGACUCCUACGGGAGGCAGCAGUGGGGAAUAUUGCGCAAUGGGGGAAACCCUGACGCAGCGACGCCGCGUGUAGGAAGAAGGCCUUCGGGUCGUAAACUACUGUCAAGAGGGAAGAAACUGUUAGGCAUUAAUACGGCCUUUCACUGACGGUACCUCUAGAGGAAGCACCGGCUAACUCCGUGCCAGCAGCCGCGGUAAUACGGAGGGUGCAAGCGUUAAUCGGAAUCACUGGGCGUAAAGCGUGCGUAGGCGGCGCAACAAGUCAGACGUGAAAGCCCUCGGCUCAACCGAGGAAUUGCGUUUGAAACUGUUGUGCUAGAGUCUCGGAGAGGUUGGCGGAAUUCCAGGUGUAGGAGUGAAAUCCGUAGAUAUCUGGAGGAACACCGGUGGCGAAGGCGGCCAACUGGACGAG
rnacentral:rRNA from 1 species